AGCGGCCUACGGGACGCAGCAGUAGGGAAUUUUCGUCAAUGGGCGCAAGCCUGAACGAGCAAUGCCGCGUGAACGAGGAAGGUCUUCGGAUCGUAAAGUUCUGUUGAAGGGGAAAAAGAGCGGAGAGAGGAAAUGAACUCCGAUUGAUAUUACCCUUCGAGGAAGUCACGGCUAACUACGUGCCAGUAGCCGCGGUAAUACGUAGGUGGCGAGCGUUAUCCGGAAUGAUUGGGCGUAAAGGGUGCGUAGGCGGCCUGCUAAGUCUGGAGUGAAAGGUACCGGCUCAACCGGUACAGGCCCUGGAA
rnacentral:rRNA from 1 species